UACAGAGGGUGCAAGCGUUAAUCGGAAUUACUGGGCGUAAAGCGUGCGCAGGCGGUUGUGCAAGACAGAUGUGAAAUCCCCGGGCUUAACCUGGGAACUGCAUUUGUGACUGGCGGGCUAGAGUAUGGCAGAGGGGGGUAGAAUUCCACGUGUAGCAGUGAAAUGCGUAGAGAUGUGGAGGAAUACCGAUGGCGAAGGCAGCCCCCUGGGCCAAUACUGACGCUCAUGCACGAAAGCGUGGGGAGCAAACAGG
rnacentral:rRNA from 1 species